rnacentral:rRNA from 1 species
GUCUACGGCCAUACCACCCUGAACGCACCCAGUCUUGUCUGAUCUUGGCAGCUAAGCAGGGUCAGGCCUGCUGAGUACUUGGAUGGGAGAUGAGACU